rnacentral:rRNA from 1 species
GACGAACGCUGGCGGCGUGCUUAACACAUGCAAGUCGAACGGAAAGGCCCUGCUUUUGUGGGGUGCUCGAGUGGCGAACGCGUGAGUAACACGUGAGUAACCUGCCCUUGACUUUGGGAUAACUUCAGGAAACUGGGGCUAAUACCGGAUAGGAGCUACUGCUGCAUGGUGGGGGUUGGAAAGUUUCGGCGGUUGGGGAUGGACUCGCGGCUUAUCCGCUUGUUGGUGGGGUAGUGGCUUACCAAGGCUUUGACGGGUAGCCGGCCUGGGAGGGUGACCGGCCACAUUGGGACUGAGAUACGGCCCAGACUCCUACGGGAGGCAGCAGGGGGGAAUAUUGCACAAUGGGCGGAAGCCUGAUGCAGCAACGCCGCGUGCGGGAUGACGGCCUUCGGGUUGUAAACCGCUUUCGCCUGUGACGAAGCGUGAGUGACGGUAAUGGGUAAAGAAGCACCGGCUAACUACGUG